AAGACCUUGCGCUUUUGGAGCGGCCGAUGCCUGAUUAGCUUGUUGGUAAGGUAAAAGCUUACCAAGGCUUCGAUCAGUAGCUGGUCUGAGAGGACGACCAGCCACACUGGGACUGAGACACGGCCCAGACUCCUACGGGAGGCAGCAGUGGGGAAUUUUGGACAAUGGGGGCAACCCUGAUCCAGCCAUGCCGCGUGAGUGAAGAAGGCCUUCGGGUUGUAAAGCUCUUUCAGCCGGAACGAAACGGUUACGGUUAAUACCCGUGAUUACUGACGGUACCGGAAGAAGAAGCACCGGCUAACUACGUGCCAGCAGCCGCGGUAAUACGUAGGGUGCGAGCGUUAAUCGGAAUUACUGGGCGUAAAGCGUGCGCAGGUGGUUUUGUAAGUCAGAUGUGAAAUCCCCGGGCUUAACCUGGGAACU
rnacentral:rRNA from 1 species